GCAAAAUGGGUGAAGUGGGUCAAAAGGUACAAACUUCCAGGCAUAAUGUAAGUAAGUCCUGGGACUGUCAUGCACAGCAUGGUGACUAAAGUUGGGGACACUGUGUUGUGUACUCGAAUGUUGCUGAGAUCGUGAAAGUUCUCAUCACAAGGGGAAAAUACGGUAACUGUGGGCGGUAAUGGAUAUGAACUAGAACUUGUUGUGGGUGGUGAUCAUUUUGCAAUAUACACAAAUAUCAGAUCAUUAUGUCGUAGGAAACAAAUAUAAUGAAAAACAAGUAAGGACUGUAAAUAUCCACUGAAACCAGCAACGUGGAGCUCCCUGAUGACGUCAGGGAAAGCUGUUUCCUGCAGGAAUGAGGUAGAAGGCGAAUUGGAGUGGGUUGAUUGGAAGUGGGAGAUAAGGAGAUGCAGGCUCUGCAAAUCCUUUCUAGGAGGGAAAUAGAGAGAGAGGUAUACAAAUAUACAUGGAGAUCCUUACGGAAAGUCAUCUCUCUCUCUCUCUCUAUUUAUAUACGUACAAACUACAUGUCUCUUUUGUUGUUGAGAAAGCCAGUUCAGAGAAAUGACACGAUUUCCUGAAAGUUGUACAGAAAACCCACAGCUAAGCUAUGACCAUAAACCCCUCCUCUGACUCCUCAGACAGAGCGCAGAGCGCAGAGGGAGGGCUGGAUCUCAGAGCUCUAGCAAAUCACUUAUUUUCCCCAAAUCUCAGUUGCCUUGGCUUUCCCUCACUUGUUGGGAGGAUUAAAGGCAAGAAUUGCUCACCCGUGGGCCCUGGCAGCACCCUGCCAGCUUCCACAUCCCACUAAUUCCUCCGUUUCCUUCUCUCGUUUUCUCCCUAAUCCCAGAGGAGAGGGAUAGCAUGAAAGGAGAGAGAGCAUUCGGAUAUUUCUUUUGAGAAGGGUGAUGAGCUGGGAAUUAGGUUAAGAUCAGCUGGAGAGAUGGAGGGUGGGAGAUGCGGCAGGGCUGCCAACAUACUGGUGGCCAGCACUGGGAGGGAGUGGAACACACCUUCGGGGAGAACCAGAAACCGUCUUUCCCUGGAAGGCUUUCAGCCCGGGCAGCAAUUCCUCUCUGGGUGCUUCGAGCCCUUGGUUUUGUGCUGCUGUCUCUGGCCUUCAGAGGGAGUGAUACUUGGUGAGCCAUCCCCAAAUCGGGUCUGCAUUGGCAUUGCCAAGGAUCCUCUAAAGGCCACUGCCAAAGUGCAGGCUCCUUGGCCUCCUCCAAGUACACCUGCAGAUUCCCGUGCUGCUGGCCACGGAGCUGAGUUUCCGGGGUGACUGGGAAGGAAAGAGGCUGCUCCUCCCAUGAGACUCACCUCUUCAUUCUGUCCCAGGAGAGUCCAGAAAAGGUAGGUUACUCAGAGAGCCUGCAUCAGUGGUCCUCUGCCCCAGCCCAGAGAUGGUAAACCUACUCAUUCAUUCAUUCAUUCAUUGUCUUUUUAGGGCUGCACCCGCAGCAUAUGGAAGUCCCCAGGCCAGGGGUCGAAUCGGAGCUACAGCUGCCAGCCUACACCACAGCCACAGCAACGUGAGAUCCCAGCUGUGAUGUGAUCUACACCACAGCCCAUGGCACCACCAGAUCCUUAACCCACUGAGUGAGGCCAGGGAUCGAAGCCGCAUCCUCAUGGAUACUAGUUAAGUUGUUAACCUGCUGAGCCACAACGGGAACGCUGAUGUUAAACCAAUUUAGAUGACUGGGUUUGGGCUGAGAUGUUCCUUUUUUCCAAGUGUUUUUCAGGUGUGCUGUUGUUUCUCCAGUGGAGCCUGACGUAAGAAAAGAGGUCCCUGCCAGCCUGAAGCAAUAUCUAUGUAGAUUUACCUAAAGUUGGAGUGGCAAAUGUGGACUGUGAAUGACCCCCUCACGGUCUGCCCCACACAAGGGGCACAGCCUCUGCAACCCCAUCGACUACAUUCGGGUUCUCCUUCCCACGUCUACCCAUAAGACACUCACUAAUGACACGGGGAGAAAUGGUCAUUCCACAGUGGAGCAACCUGACAGACACCAUCUUCAACAGGUGAGCAAAUUUAACAACAGCCGGUAAUGGGACAGACCGACUUUAUGUGCCUCAUGCUACAACGUACAAAGAAGAAACAUCACUUCUGUGGGGUUCCUGCCAAAUGUGUAUAAUCGAAACACCAGGAAACAUUCAACAAACCAAACUCAAAAGCUAUUCUACAGGCACAGUGAGCUCUACUCUUCAAAAAUGUCUAUGGCAUGAAAACACAAAGUGGACUGAGGAACUGUGCCACAUAAGGGAGACUGAAUUGGGACACGCAAUAAAUGAAUGCAAUGC
rnacentral:lncRNA from 1 species